CAAUUUUAAAGCAAUAACAUUUUUAUGAAAUAACGAAAGUAACGAUGAUGUACUCUAUGUGUAGAAUGUUGUUUGUUG